UACGUAGGGUGCAGGCGUUAAUCGGAAUUACUGGGCGUAAAGCGUGCGCAGGCGGUUUGCUAAGUCAGGUGUGAAAUCCCCGGGCUUAACCUGGGAACUGCGCUUGUAACUGGCAAGCUGGAGUGUGGCAGAGGGGGGUGGAAUUCCACGUGUAGCAGUGAAAUGCGUAGAGAUGUGGAGGAACACCGAUGGCGAAGGCAGCCCCCUGGGCUAACACUGACGCUCAUGCACGAAAGCGUGGGGAGCAAACAGG
rnacentral:rRNA from 1 species